rnacentral:rRNA from 1 species
UGGGGAAUAUUGCACAAUGGGCGCAAGCCUGAUGUAGCCAUGCCGCGUGUGUGAAGAAGGCCUUCGGGUUGUAAAGCACUUUCAGCGAGGAGGAAGGUGGUGAGCUUAAUACGCUCAUCAAUUGACGUUACUCGCAGAAGAAGCACCGGCUAACUCCGUGCCAGCAGCCGCGGUAAUACGGAGGGUGCAAGCGUUAAUCGGAAUUACUGGGCGUAAAGCGCACGCAGGCGGUUUGUUAAGUCAGAUGUGAAAUCCCCGGGCUCAACCUGGGAACUGCAUUUGAAACUGGCAAGCUAGAGUCUCGUAGAGGGGGGUAGAAUUCCAGGUGUAGCGGUGAAAUGCGUAGAGAUCUGGAGGAAUACCGGUGGCGAAGGCGGCCCCCUGGACGAAGACUGACGCUCAGGUGCGAAAGCGUGGGGCAGCAAACAGGAUUAGAUACCCUGGUAGUCCACGCUGUAAAACGAUGUCGAUUUUGGAGGUUGUGCCCUUGAGGCGUGGNUUCCGGAGCUAACGCGUUAAAUCGACCGCCUGGGGAGUACGGCCNCAAGGUUAAAACUCAAAUGAAUUG